GGCCAGUGAUGGAUAAAAAUUUCCCAUACCAUAUGAGUUAUUUCUUUGAUGUGAUUUCUAUUAUUUUGCUUCUAAGCUC